rnacentral:rRNA from 1 species
CCUACGGGAGACUGCAGUGAGGAAUAUUGGUCAAUGGACGAGAGUCUGAACCAGCCAAGUAGCGUGAAGGAUGACUGCCCUAUGGGUUGUAAACUUCUUUUAUAUGGGAAUAAAAUGUUCCACGUGUGGGAUUUUGUAUGUACCAUAUGAAUAAGGAUCGGCUAACUCCGUGCCAGCAGCCGCGGUAAUACGGAGGAUCCGAGCGUUAUCCGGAUUUAUUGGGUUUAAAGGGAGCGUAGGUGGAUUGUUAAGUCAGUUGUGAAAGUUUGCGGCUCAACCGUAAAAUUGCAGUUGAAACUGGCAGUCGUGAGUACAGUAGAGGUGGGCGGAAUUCGUGGUGUAGCGGUGAAAUGCUUAGAUAUCACGAAGAACUCCGAUUGCGAAGGCAGCUCACUGGACUGCAACUGACACUGAGGCUCGAAAGUGUGGGUAUCAAACAGGAUUAGAUACCCUUGUAGUC